CCCUUAGAUGUCCUGGGCCGCACGCGCGUUACACUGAUGCAUUCAACGAGCUUAUAACCUUGGCCGAGAGGCCCGGGCAAUCUUGUUAACGUGCAUCGUGAUAGGGAUAGAUUAUUGAAAUUAUUAAUCUUGAACGAGGAAUUCCUAGUAAACGCAGAUCAUCAAUCUGCAUUGAUUACGUCCCUGCCCUUUGUACACACCGCCCGUCGCACCUACCGAUUGGAUGGUCCGGUGAAGCCUCGGGAUUGUGAUUCUUGCCGCUUUAUUGUGGCGUGACCGCGAGAACUUGUCUAAACCUUAUCAUCUAGAGGAAGGUGAAGUCGUAACA
rnacentral:rRNA from 1 species